rnacentral:misc_RNA from 1 species
CAAUCCGUAUCGGGAGGGUUAGGCGAUAUCUUGCAAAAGGUACGCAAUUCUACGAUUUCUUCUUCUUGCACUGGUCUAUCCGUUCUUGCAAACUGGAUACGCCAAUGUAACCAUUGUAACGCGACUGGUGUUGGUCGCUUGUAAAUGGAAUAAAACACUAUGUUGCUUGAAAAGGGAUUUACCAAGCACGUAAGAGAAAAAGCGUAAGAGACAAGUUAACUUUACGGGCAAUCCGAAGACGGAAGUUCCACUGUGAAAGAAGAUUUUUGUUAUAGAAGAAACGGAUGGUUUCCUUUAGAAACAGAAAACUGGAGAACGUGUUAAAAUUGUUAGACGGAACUAUUUCAAUUUUAGAAACUGUUUCGUUGUCAAUCCAUAGUACCCGAUAAAGGACC